rnacentral:rRNA from 1 species
GAAACGACUGCUAAGACUGGAUAGGAAAAGUGAAGGCAUCUUUACUUUUUUAAAAGACCUUCUUUGAAGGUAUGCUUAAGGAGGGGCUUGCGACACAUUAGUUAGUUGGCAGGGUAAAGGCCUACCAAGACUAUGAUGUGUAGCUGGACUGAGAGGUUGAACAGCCACAUUGGGACUGAGACACGGCCCAAACUCCUACGGGAGGCAGCAGUAGGGAAUUUUCGGCAAUGGAGGAAACUCUGACCGAGCAACGCCGCGUGAACGAUGAAGUACCUCGGUAUGUAAAGUUCUUUUAUUAAGGAAGAAAAAAGAGUGGAAAAACUCCCUUGACGGUACUUAAUGAAUAAGCCCCGGCUAAUUAUGUGCCAGCAGCCGCGGUAAUACAUAAGGGGCGAGCGUUAUCCGGAAUUAUUGGGCGUAAAGGGUGCGUAGGCGGUUUAAUAAGUCUAUAGUUUAAUUUCAGCGCUUAACGCUGUUGUGCUAUAGAAACUGUUUUACUAGAGUGAGAUAGAGGCAAGCGGAAUUCCAUGUGUAGCGGUAAAAUGCGUAAAUAUAUGGAGGAACACCAGAGGCGUAGGCGGCUUGCUGGGUCUUUACUGACGCUGAGGCACGAAAGCGUGGGGAGCAAACAGGAUUAGAUACCCUGGUAGUCCACGCUGUAAACGAUGAGUACUAAGUGUCGGGUAAAACCGGUACUGAAGUUAACACAUUAAGUACUCCGCCUGAGGAGUACGUACGCAAGUAUGAAACUUAAAGGAAUUGACGGGACUCCGCACAAGCGGUGGAUCAUGUUGUUUAAUUCGAAGAUACACGAAAAACCUUACCAGGUCUUGACAUUUUCUUGCGAAGUUAUAGAAAUAUAAUGGAGGUUAUCAGGAAAACAGGUGGUGCAUGGUUGUCGUCAGCUCGUGUCGUGAGAUGUUAGGUUAAGUCCUAAAACGAGCGCAACCCUUGUCGUUAAUUGCCAGCAUGUAAUGAUGGGGACUUUAACGAGACUGCCAAUGAAAAAUUGGAGGAAGGUGGGGAUUACGUCAAAUCAUCAUGCCCCUUAUGAUCUGGGCUACAAACGUGAUACAAUGGUUGAUACAAAGAGUAGCUGAAACGUGAGUUCUUAGCCAAUCUCACAAAAUCAAUCUCAGUUCGGAUUGAAGUCUGCAACUCGACUUCAUGAAGUUGGAAUCGCUAGUAAUCGUGAAUCAGCAUGUCGCGGUGAAUACGUUCUCGGGGUUUGUACACACCGCCCGUCA